rnacentral:rRNA from 1 species
CUAAGUUUGAUGGCGACCGGCGCACGGGUGAGUAACACGUAUCCAACCUGCCCUUUACUCGGGGAUAGCCUUUCGAAAGAAAGAUUAAUACCCGAUAGUAUAAUGAUUCCGCAUGGUUUCAUUAUUAAAGGAUUCCGGUAAAGGAUGGGGAUGCGUUCCAUUAGGUUGUUGGUGAGGUAACGGCUCACCAAGCCUUCGAUGGAUAGGGGUUCUGAGAGGAAGGUCCCCCACAUUGGAACUGAGACACGGUCCAGACUCCUACGGGAGGCAGCAUG